AGCCAUGCAUGUUUAUGUAAUAAGGACGAAUAGCUCAGUAGAACUGCGAUUAUUUAAUCUGUUUGUAAGAUAACUACGUGAAAAUGUAGCUAAGAGAGAACAGAAUAAGACGUAGGACUAUCAGUUAGUUGGUAGUGUAAUGGACUACCAAGACUAUAACGGUUAACGGGGAAUUAGGGUUUUAUACCGGAGAGGGAGCCUGAGAGAUUGCUCCCACGUCCAAGGACGGCAGCAGGCGCGAAAAUUGCCCACUGUUGUAGGAGGCAGUUAUGAGACGUAAAGAUGAAUAUUUGGUAAAGAGAAAUAGGAGAAUUGGAGGGCAAGUUUGGUGCCAGCAGCCGCGGUAAUACCGACUCCAAGAGUGUGUAUGAGAGAUGCUGCAGUUAAAAAGUCCGUAGUCUUAUAAAUAUAAAUAGAGAUGUGAUGUCUCUGAUAGAUAUAAUAGAGAAACCAAUGGGGAACAUAGUAUACCAGGGCGAGAGAUGAAAUGUCAAGACCCCUGGUGGACUCAGCGAGGCGAAAGCGAUGUUCUUGUGGGUAUUUUAUGAUCAAGGACGAAGGGUGGAGGAUCGAAAGUGAUUAGAUACCGCAAUAGUUCCAGCAGUAAAAGAUGCCGACAUGUCGAUUGGCAACAGUGGACAGGGAGAAAUCUUAGAGUUCGGGCUCUGGGGAUAGUAUGCUCGCAAGAGUGAAAAUUAAAGAAAUU
rnacentral:rRNA from 1 species